AGGAGCUAGCAAUGCUACGUGGAAUUGCAUGUCGAAAAUAUUUAAAAAGUCAACCUGCCAUCUCUCCUGCCCUGCUCGUCCAAGUUCCCACUCUAGUUCCAGUACUGGCAGGCUUCACCACUAUAUCCCAGCAGGGUCCUGCUUGGCAUGUUCUCCCAGGUAUCUUCUGAGAGGUUGUUCUCUCUCCACUUCUCAUUCAAGUCUGAAGAUGCUUACAGUCACCUGCAGUACUUCUAAAUCAGAUUUAUACCCCAUGGCAUAAAACAAAGCAACGUAGAAAAUCUCUGACUGCUCCAUAAUGCUGACUUCACAAAGUCCCCAGCCACCCACAGGAUCUCUCAAAGUUGUCAUCUGGAGGAUAGGGGAGCUUUGGGGAAAAAAUCAGAGCCCCUCAAUUACCAAUUCUGACAACUCUUAUUUUAGCUUGAAUCUCCCCAUGCAAAUAGACAGUUGACAUGUGAUUGGAGAAGAAAUAGAAGUAUGUUUCUAUUAAAACCAUGUUCCUUAAGUUGUCGCUCUGAAUUUAUAUCCCUCUGGCCUUUGCCAAGUUGGCUCUGGGCUAUAUUCUGUCCUGAAAUUAGAGCAUUCUUCUUGUAGCCCCAGGAGAUGCCUAAGAUCCUUGAAGAUGAAAACCAGACUCUGAACCAUAGCUUUGGGAAUUAGGGGAGUCCAAAGUGUAACUUCCCUAUGCAACAUGCUUGGGAUAACCCAGCUUUCCUUUGCACUUCUGAUUAGAGUUUUGAGAUGGAAGAGGUCACAGCUCCAAUGAUCUCAGCCGAAGAAGAUGAGGAAGAAGACCAGCACAAGUGCUCUCCAAGGAAUGUCUUCCUGCCCGGUGUCCUGGACAACUGCCUGUCUUUAGAAUUAACAAAUGCUCUGACUUGCAGAGUCUCUCUCAAAUCAGCUUUUGCUGGUAUCAGGAUUUCUCUGGAGGACUCAACAAAGUCCUCUCCAUGCCUGAGAUUCCUACAAUGAUUGAAAUUCCAUUGUUUCUUCCCCGUGGGUAUGUAUUUCUGCCUUUGGACGGACAACUUCAGUCCAGCUUUCACAUGUCCCUCAGAACCACUCUGUGCAGAUUGUGACCUGAUGCUUCUAACACACUGUCCUUCACCAGUCCCUAUGCCCUCAACCCCUACACUCUAUCAUACACAUCUUACUG
rnacentral:lncRNA from 1 species